rnacentral:lncRNA from 10 species
GAUGGAUUAGGGGCUUUCGGUGUGCCUCAGCCACUUGGAAGUAGAAAAAUAAGCAUAAAGAUAAACUUUGUGAGCUUCAAUUCAAGAAGAAAAAUAGGAAUUCACAGGAAUAGAGAAGAACACUCCAGACCCUGUGGAGGGGGAGGUGGGAAAGCAGCCUCUGCGAUAGCAUUUUGUUCAUAAAAGGGAGUGAAACUGCAGUACGAGAGAAGAACAUCCAGUCUCCCUCUGUGACUCACCUUUCCACUGGGGAUCUGUGCAACCCAGAUUAAGGGAGAGCAGUCUGUUUCUCCCACGAAAGCACUUAUGUGCUUAGAGCUGGCACAAAAGUGGCUGAGAGAUGGGGAAAGAGGAAAGACACUCAGAAAAGCUGCAGGCAUUUCCGCAGACCUGGGACUGAGAGAAGGAUGCCAUUUUUAAUCUGGGCUCGUACAAAGUCAAUCAUUCUUUGGUGCCUGGCAAUGGUGGCCACUGCAGACACUUUAAUCUUGGGCUAGGAAUUGAAGUGCUUGCUCUGGAGCAGGGGAGCAGCCUCCACAGCCAGAAUUGAGUGUUGAGUGUGGAAAGUGCCCCAGCAGUAGGUGUUGGAAUUAGGCUCUCUCCUCUUGCAGGACUGUAGUGGGAAGAGAGUUGCUAAAGCAGAGGUUUCUCAGGGAUGGUGAGACUUGCAGCCAAGAACAGUUUUGCAACCUGGGACUGGUCUGUGUGUGUCAUUGCUGGGUGUCCCAGCCUGCUCCCUUGGUCAGUUGAGAGAGUACCUCAUCAGCUCCAAGAAACAGGAGGGAGGUGAACCCGUUUCCCCAGGAGACCUAAACUUUGGUGAGGACCAGUCCUAAGGGAAGGAGGAAUACAGCUUGCCGAACACAGCCCUUGAGUCAAAGGAAACAUGAUCAUGACAUCAGCUGCUGAAAGGGGCACACCAAAGCCUGGGAACAGAUUUAGAGAGGUGGUCAUCUCUUGCCCUCUGUCACCUUCCUAGUGCACUGCUGCAGACCCAGCAGUGGUCAUCCUGUUGGGGCCCAAGGAACGUGGGCUGAAAGAGGCUGCUUCUUAGGUUUCUCCAGCAGCUCUGCCCCUGCUGAAGACUAGUACACAUGGGGACAGGGUGCUUUUGGCACUUCGUCACUUCUGCACCUGUCGAGGACAAGUACACAGAGGAGAAGACCCUGCAGCCAGCUGUUACUCUUAAGCACUGUCUACUGGACUGAAGCCUGAAUUACACCACCAAACAAAGAUACAUCACCACACCAAGCCACCACAGGAGCCUAUCUGCAACCAAGGAACUUGUACAGAGCCUUGGUCCUCUGAAAGUACGCAGAAAUGAAGCAAACUGAUCCUAUACAACAUACACCACAGUCAUACCCUUAAGAGAAAGACAAAAUGAAAAAUUAAAAAAAAAAAAAACUCCUUCCAAAUGAUAUCAAAUUCAACAAAAGAAGCAUCAAGUCUCUCAGAUGAGAAGAAACCAGCACAAGCACUCUGGCAAUACAAAAAGCCAGAAUUUUCCAUCACCUUCAAAGGAUUACACCAGCAAACUAGCAAUGAGUCCUAACCAGAAUGAAAUGUCUGAAAUGACAUGUAUAGUAUUCAAGAUAUAAGUGGCAAAAAAAUUCACCAAAAUCCAACAGAAAGUUGGAAUCCAACAACAACCCCAUAACAACGAUCCUGGAUUUGAAUGACAAGAUAGCUAUAUUGAAAAAGAACCAAGCAGAGCUUCUUGAAUUGAAAAAUUUACUAUAGGAAUUUCAAAAAGAGUUGGCAGCCUUAGCAACAGACUAGGCCAAAUAGAAGAACUAAUUUAAGAGCUCAAAGACCAGACCUUUGAAUCAACCCAGUCAGACAAAAAUAAAAAAGGAAUUUAAAAAUAAUGAACCACACUUUUGAGAAAUAUAGGAUUAUGUAAAGGAACAAAAUCUAUGACUUACUAUUGGCAUUUUUUUUUGAGACAGAAUCUCACACUGUUACCCAGUCUGUAGUGAAGUGGCAUGAUCUUGGCUCACUGAAACCUCCACCUCCUGGGUUCAAGCAAUUCUUGUGCCUCAGCCUCCCAAGUAUCUGAGAUUACAGGCGUAUGCCACCAUGCCUGGCUAAUUUUUGUAUUUUUAGUAGAGAUGAGGUUUUGCCAUGCUGGCCAGGUAGGUCUCAAACUUCUGGUCUCGGGUGAUACUCCCACCUUGGCCUCCCAAAGUGCUGGGAUGACUGGCAUGAGCCACUGUGCCUGGCUGACUUAUUGGCAUUUCUAACAGAGAAGAAGAGAAAGUAAGCAACUUGGAAAACAUUUUUGAGGAUAUAAUUCAGGAAAGUGUCCUCAAUCUUGCUAGAGAGUUCCACCAGCUGAUACAAGAAAUCCAGAGAACUCCCGUGAGACUGAAGAAAAUCAAUAACAUACAAGUAAAGAAGAUCAAGAAGCCACAAAAAGCAAUUCCAAGUAUACAAUGCAUGGUGAAAAGUGAUGGAAGAAAACUGCAGGAAUUUAAAAUGCAAAAUUAAAAUACAGCCCUAUAAUUCAUGAUACAUAAUUCUUCAUUGAACCCCGAAUCUGUCAGGACAUAUGUGUGUUCUUGGAUAACGAAUUCAACCUACUUGGCACUGAAUUUUCUUGACUGUAAACUGUUUUAGAGAUGUUCCUCACCCGGUUGCAUGAAGCACAUCUGUGUGUGUUAAGGCACUUCCCACAGCAUCUGCGACACAGAACCGUGGCAGCUGUGCCCUUCCUGGUCCCUGCACACAGACCCACAGCAGUAUGUUGUGUCUUUUUUUAAUAUAAAAGGCUUUGAAAAUGUCCCACAGUUUCUUCAGUAACUGACUGUCAAAAGGGGCAGCCUUCAAAAGUAGAAUUCUGGCAAAUGUCUUCAAAAGACGCAAAAUUCUGGCAAUGGGCUCAUUUCCCCUCCCGCCUUGCUCUUCUGGAUGGAUCCAUUCUCUCCCACAGCAUAUUCAUUUUCUUCCACUCCACCGUAAAAAUUGUCCUUCUAGUGGCAAGAGUGACGUAAGUGAUAUGCGGAAAUUUCUUUCCAAGCCUGCUUGGAGAAGCUUCCUCUGCCUGCUUCUCUUUGGCCACCUCCAGGGCUGCUCUGUCACCCCCAACAGCAUGGACCUCACUGCAGUCACUCUGGAAGCUUCCCUCUAAAGGAAGCUUGUGCAGGAAACAUCAUGCAUGGAGCAGCAUGGGGACAGGGGCUGGCCAGCUGGGCAGGGCUCACACUCCUGACACCCAGACUCCACGAUACUCCUCUGUCCCCACCCAGGGCAGAUCCCUGCCCUAAAAGUUUUCCCUCUUAUGUCCAGCAAAUGCUGCAUGGAGCCCUGGAAUUCUAUGUGGAAAGCUAGGAAGAGGGAGAGCUGAAAUGAGGAUGUAAUCACCCUUUCCAAAGAGGUCAGUCCAGUACUACCCUGUGCUCCUGGGCAAGCUCUCCAGGCUGAGGGAACAGGAGCAGGGGUUAUGUUGGGUGAAAGUGGAAGUGAGGGACCUCCCAGGAGGUGUAGAAUAUUCCACUAGGGACACCUCAUACCCUUCCAGGAUUAGACCUUGGGGCCUGGAGAUCCCCAGGCAAUUAGUAUUGAAGGUCGAAUGGCCAAUGACAGGAAUGGGAAGGCCCACUGUGUCAUUCACAAAGCACUUCCAAACCCAUCACCACAGGUGACCCUCACAACAACCCUGUGAGACCUGCAGAGCAGGGGCUCUCACAAAGGAGGAGUCGGGAAUGUCAAGAUUUUAACACCUUCUCCAAGUCAGGAUCAGGAAAUGCUGUCCCAGCGCUGACCUAUAUUCCCUAUGCUUCCUCCCACAAAAGAGCUUAGGGUGGCUGCCAACUUGUGGGCAGAGACCCUCACUUUCCAAUCCCCACGAGGGGCUGUGCAGUGGGGAGGACAAGGCCCCCUCCUCUGUCUCCUCCAAGACCCUGUUUUCUGAGGAAGGUCACUCUGGGAACUGUUGGCCUCUGCAGAUGGGGGCCUGGAUCAUGUGGAAAGAUGACGUGAAGGUCACACCUGUCAGGGACCAGUGCUGGAGGGCAAACCUCACCUUUAAAAGCUCCCACUGUUUAUUUUAAAUUUAUUUUUAUUUUUAAUUUCUAUGAGUACAUAGUAGGUGUAUAUAUUUAUGGGGUACAUGAGAUAGUUUGACACAGGCAUGCAAUGUGUAAUAAUCACAUCAGGGUAUAAAUGGGGCAUUCAUCACCUCAAGAAAGGGAAAUGCCAGAUGCUUAUAAAACCAUCAGAUCACAUGAGAACUCACUGACUAUCAUGAGAACAGCAUGGGGGAAACUGCCGCCAUGAUUCAGUUACCUCUCACUGGGUCCCUCCCGUGACACAUGAGGCUUAUGGAAAUUACAGUUCAAGAUGACAUUUGGGUGGCAACACAGCCAAACCAUAUCACCUUAUAAAAUGAAUAAUGUGAAAAUAGCACUGGGCCUGAGGCCUGGCCCCUGCUGUGUGAUGCCCCCUCUUGGGGAGAGCCUGGUUUCUGUGGCAUGCAGAAACUUCCCUGUGCUUCCUGUGGGCUUGGGGUGAGCCAGGUCCUCCUGGGGGAACUGGGCACUGUGGGACAGGAGGGUCCCUGGUCUGGGGUCUCCAUUUGCCUCCUUACCCCCAUCAACGAAGCACCAGAGGAGCCAACUCAAUAAACCUCAAUGCACGGCCCUUCCUGGACCAUAGGUGCUCAGGGCCCCCUGAGCUGCCCGGGGGCAGAACACUUGGC